rnacentral:tRNA from 1 species
GCCGAAGUGGUGGAACUGGUAGACGCGCUGGCUUCAGGAGCCAGUGGGCGCAAGCCCGUGGGGGUUCGAGUCCCCCCUUCGGCAUCA